rnacentral:rRNA from 1 species
UACGAAGGGGGCUAGCGUUGCUCGGAAUCACUGGGCGUAAAGCGCACGUAGGCGGAUUGCUAAGUCAGGGGUGAAAUCCUGGAGCUCAACUCCAGAACUGCCUUUGAUACUGAGGAUCUUGAGUUCAGGAGAGGUGAGUGGAACUGCGAGUGUAGAGGUGAAAUUCGUAGAUAUUCGCAAGAACACCAGUGGCGAAGGCGGCUCACUGGCCCGAUACUGACGCUGAGGCACGAAAGCGUGGGGAGCAAACAGG